AUUGAACGCUGGCGGCAUGCCUUACACAUGCAAGUCGAACGGCAGCACGGGUGCUUGCACCUGGUGGCGAGUGGCGAACGGGUGAGUAAUACAUCGGAACAUGUCCUGUAGUGGGGGAUAGCCCGGCGAAAGCCGGAUUAAUACCGCAUACGAUCUACGGAUGAAAGCGGGGGACCUUCGGGCCUCGCGCUAUAGGGUUGGCCGAUGGCUGAUUAGCUAGUUGGUGGGGUAAAGGCCUACCAAGGCGACGAUCAGUAGCUGGUCUGAGAGGACGACCAGCCACACUGGGACUGAGACACGGCCCAGACUCCUACGGGAGGCAGCAGUGGGGAAUUUUGGACAAUGGGCGAAAGCCUGAUCCAGCAAUGCCGCGUGUGUGAAGAAGGCCUUCGGGUUGUAAAGCACUUUUGUCCGGAAAGAAAUCCUUGGCCCUAAGACGGUCGGGGGAUGACGGGACCGGAAGAAUAAGCACCGGCUAACUACGU
rnacentral:rRNA from 1 species